CGAGGAUUCCUUUAGUAACAGCGAGUGAACAAGGAAAAGCCCAGCGUUGCAAUCCCAUGAUCAUUGAACGGUCAUUCGGGACCUGUAACGUAUAGGUAUAGUCAUUUGUUGCCAGUGUUUUGAAUACUCUAAGUUCCCUUGACUGGGGCUAUCGCCCAUUGAUGGUGCUAGGCCAGUAAGAGUAUCGAAAUGUUGGUAAUGUUUCGGCUAUACCUUGGAGUCGAGUUGCCUGGGAUCGCAGCUCAAAGUAGGUGGUAAACUUCAUCUAAGGCUAAAUAUCGCUACGAGACCGAUAGCCAACAAGUACCGUGAGGGAAAGUUGCAAAGAACUUUGAAGAGAGAGUUCAAGAGUACGUGAAACCGUUGGGAGGAAAACGGAUAGAGUCGGCGAUUUGCUAGUAGCACUCAGCUAAUCAAUGUUUGCUGCUAUUGUCUAAGUUUAAUCGUUCAACUUGUUGUGCGAUAGCUUAGAUGAUUGUCCAGUGGGUUGUUAAAACAUUCGAUUGGUGCAAUUGCUGCUAGUAUGCGCUAAGGUAUUCGCUGCUGUAUAUGCUUUAAGCUAUGAUUGAAGAGGACUACAUCACUUGUUGGUGUAGAAACCUUCAUCAUAGUCUAGUAUAUUCGUAGUGAAUAUUUAUUCGGUGUGUGUAUGGAUCACUAUGGUUUUUUAGCUGUGGCGUUCAUUGGUUCUUGGUGGUUUUUCGCAUUUGACAGUGGCAUGCCACUUUGUCUAAUGUGUCCAAGGCUGUCGAUCAAUGUUUUUGCCACACUUGGUG
rnacentral:rRNA from 1 species